rfam:Gossypium raimondii Chr10_contig_107, whole genome shotgun sequence.
UGUUAAAAAUUACAUCUGUACUAUUAAAAACUGGCGUGACUGACGAAAUAACUAGAUAGUGACACGUGACAUGCCACGUGUAUCUCAUGCUGACAUAUUUGUUCUUAAUAGUAGAAAUAGAUGAAAUUUUUAACA